rnacentral:rRNA from 1 species
UACAGAGACUGCAAGCGUUGUUCGGAUUCACUGGGCGUAAAGGGUGCGCAGGUGGUCGGAUGUGUCGAAUGUGAAAGCUCGAGGCUCAACCUCGAAACUGCAUCCGAAACUAUCAGACUAGAGUGCUGGAGAGGGAAGUGGAAUUCACGGUGUAGCAGUGAAAUGCGUAGAUAUCGUGAGGAACACCAAUGGCGAAGGCAGCUUCCUAGACAGCAACUGACACUCAGGCACGAAAGCGUGGGGAGCAAAAGGG